rnacentral:rRNA from 1 species
UACGUAGGCAGCGAGCGUUGUUCGGAAUUACUGGGCGUAAAGAGUGUGUAGGCGGUGUUCCCAGUCUGUUGUGAAAUCUCCCGGCUUAACUGGGAGGGUGCAGCGGAAACUAGAAUGCUAGAGGGUGGGAGAGGUAAGCGGAAUUCCUGGUGUAGCGGUGAAGUGCGUAGAUAUCAGGAGGAACACCUGUGGUGUAGACAGCUUGCUGGACCACUUCUGACGCUGAGACACGAAAGCGUGGGUAGCAAACAGG